GAUGAACGCUAGCGGCAGGCUUAACACAUGCAAGUCGAGGGGUAGAGGAAGCUUGCUUCCUUGAGACCGGCGCACGGGUGCGUAACGCGUAUGCAACCUACCUUUUACAGAGGGAUAGCCCAGAGAAAUUUGGAUUAAUACCUCAUGGUAUAUAUCAUUCGCAUGUUUGAUAUAUUAAAGUUCCAACGGUAAAAGAUGGGCAUGCGUCAUAUUAGCUAGAUGGUAAGGUAACGGCUUACCAUGGCAACGAUAGGUAGGGGUCCUGAGAGGGAGAUCCCCAACCGUGGUACUGAGCAACGGACCAGACUCCUCCGGGAGGCAGCAGUGAGGAAUAUUGGACAAUGGGCGCAAGCCUGAUCCAGCCAUGCCGCGUGCAGGAAGAAGCAUCUAUGGUGUGUAAACUGCUUUUGUACGGGAAGAAACACUCCUUCGUGAAGGAGCUUGACGGUACCGUAAGAAUAAGGAUCGGCUAACUACGUGCCAGCCGCCGCAGUAAGAC
rnacentral:rRNA from 1 species